rnacentral:rRNA from 1 species
UAUGUGAUCGUCUCUCGCAUAUCAAUAAGCGGAGGAAAAGAAACUAACAAGGAUUCCCCUAGUAACGGCGAGUGAAGCGGGAAGAGCUCAAAUUUGAAAUCUUAAAGGGUUUCCCUUUACGAAUUGUAGUUUAAAGAAGUGUUUUCUGUUGAGGUUUUGGUAAAAGUUCUUUGGAAUAGGACAUCAUAGAGGGUGAGAAUCCCGUAUUUGACCUUUACUUUCAACUUUGUGAUACACUUUCAAAGAGUCGGAUUGUUUGGGAAUGCAGUCCAAAAUGGGUGGUAAAUUUCAUCUAAAGCUAAAUAUUGGCGAGAGACCGAUAGCGAACAAGUACCGUGAGGGAAAGAUGAAAAGAACUUUGAAAAGAGAGUUAAACAGUACGUGAAAUUGUCAAAAGGGAAGCGUUUGACACCAGUGUUGUUUUUCUGAAAAUCAAUUAAAGAACUGUUUAUGCUAAGCUGUUUAGACUUUAUCAGCUAUCUGUUUAGCUUUGAGCUUUUCUUUAAUGCACUUUUCAGUUAACAAGUCAACAUCAAUUUCUUUUGCUGUAAAAAAGCUUGAGGAAGGUGGCUUGAGAUUCGUCUUAAGUGUUUAUAGCCUCUUGCCUAUGCAGUCGGAGAGAUUGAGGUCUGCAGCGUAGAUCCUUCGGGGCUAAAUGCAUUUGUGCUAAGUUAUAGCAUUUUAUAGACAACUUGUUGACUAUGAUUUGUCUUGUAGCUUACUCGCUUAUGUUAUUUUACCUACGCUUAGGAUGUUGAUCUACAGAGCGAGAGU